AAAGCGAAAUCCGCUUUUAUAAAACAAUAAGACAAACAGGACUAAAUGUUCUAUCUAUAUGGCGCUGGUUAUAACAUUAUAAAUCGUCAUGGAAAGUCUUACGAGCCUUUAUGGUCAACUACCGCCAUCUAGUGGCCACGCUGCACAGUACAGCUGAGUAUCUCGCCCUACGUCAUACAAUAAUAAGGAAGUAGCGGUCCAACAAUUAACACGAGUAGAUUAUUUUUGGGUGCCUUAGUCUUUAUUACACGUUAUAUCUCAAUGUAAACAACGAAUACCAAAAGACAGAAGUCUCAUCUCAAGAGCAUACAUCUGUUGGAACCAGUUUAGUUGUAUUGUUGUCAUCCUUUGUGGUCUUCGUGUGUCUCUCAAGGAGCUCUAUGGAGAGAUACUCACUCCAGAAAGUCAUCGGUGAGGGCUCUUUCGGUCGGGCUUUGUUAGUUCGGUGUAAAAGCAGUCAGGAGAAGUAUGUGGUCAAGGAAAUCCAGCUUCCCAAGAAUAACUCCAAAUUGGAGAAUCCGAGGAGGGAAGCCAUCCUGCUAUCCAAAAUGAAACAUCCUAAUAUUGUGACCUUCAGGGAGGCCUUCGAAGCUGAUGGCCUCCUGUGUAUUGCUAUGGAGUUCUGCAGUGGAGGAGACCUGCUCCAGAGGAUGCAACAGCAGAAAACUACGCAGUUCUCUGUGGACCACAUCUUGAGAUGGUUUGCUCAAAUGUGUGCUGCGGCACAGCAUAUCCAUGAUAAAAGGGUUUUGCACAGAGAUCUGAAGUCUAAGAACAUAUUCCUGACAGAUAAUGGGACAAUCAAGCUCGGGGACUUUGGCUCGGCGUGUAUUCUGAACAGCUCCAAGGCAUACGCUAAUACAUAUGUUGGAACACCAUAUUACGUGGCUCCAGAAAUCUGGGACAACAAGCCAUACAACAAUAAGAGUGAUGUGUGGUCUCUGGGCUGCGUUUUGUACGAGCUCUGCACCCUGCGACACCCGUUCCAGGCAUCCAGCUGGAAGAGCCUCAUUCUUAAGGUGUGUCGGGGUGCGUACCCUCCCCUCCCCAAUCACCUGCCCUACGAACUGCAGUAUUUGCUAAAGCAGAUGUUUAAGACGAACCCAAAAGACAGGCCGUCCAUGCACAGCAUCCUGACCUCCCACAGGGUUUCCAAACUCCUCCGUGCACAUCUACCCUCCCAGGCGCUAGAGACGCAGGAACAGGGGAGGCGGACGGCUCGAUGGAAGAGAGAAGAGGGGAAGAAGGUGGCUAAUCUUCUGGGAGAGAAGAGUUUGAUAACAACGUCGACAUUUGAAGGCGUGGAGUUACAUGAAGCCCACUCUGAAAGCAGAGAGCCGGGUCCUCGUAAGCAGUGGGCCGCGGGGCCCUCGGACACUGUGCUGCAGAUGUUGGCCAACGCCAGCCUCGUCUCCUCGGACAGCAUGGGGUCAACCUGCCAGUCCCUCACAGAGGAGCCAGGGGACAGCCGGCAGAGGAGACGAUGGAACAAGGAUCCUCCAGAGACGCUUCUGAGUGUGUUGGAGAAGGCCCAGCUGAGCAGAGCCUUCAGCACCUUUUUAAUAAACCCAGGAGGUGAGGACCCUCUGGUGGGACCCCUCUCCCAGCGGCAGGGGGACCACCCUGAUGGUCCUGAGCCUGAAGUGGCCUUAGAUGAGGAGCGACUGCAGCCUCGCUCUGAUGAUGAGGACACGUGAGUAACCCAGAUACAAAGCUGUGUUUGACAUGACAUUAGUAAGGCAAGGCAAGUUUAUUUAUAUAGCACUUUUCAACACAAGGCAAUUCAAAGUGCUUUACAAAAAUGAAAGACAUUCAGAGCAUAAAACACAUUAGAAACAUUCAAAAGCAAAGAUAAUAAAACAUGAAUAACCCAGGAACAUGAAUAACAGUUACAGUGCAGUGUAAGAUGUGAAUAGUUUAAUUAAAAGUAGCGGCAAAAAGAAAGUAUUCGGCCUGGAUUUAAAAGUAGUGAGAGUUGCAGCGGAUCUGAAGGUUUCUGGUAGUUUCCAGAUAUUUGACAAUAUACCAAAUGUUCACAUUUCUCCACCCCUACUCAUCCCAUGAAAUUAUAGUUUUUUGACAGUUUUCUAACCUUUUUAUAUUCCUUUCAUCCUUCUCUUUCAAUCAUUUUGCAUCCCCAGACAACACAUUUCCCCUGUUUUACUGUUACCCGAACCCAUCUUUGACCUUUAAACCACUUUUUUAGUAGCUAGGAGUAUAUCACUAUUCUAGACAGAAGAGAAUUGUAUUAAUUGUAAUUUAUAGUUUAAUUAAAUAUAUAUUUUUGGGUUUGUAUUAGGGAUGGGAAUUUGAAAGCAAAUUCGAAUAUUCGACCCCCAAAAAAACGGUUAGCCGAUUAACCGAAAUGUACAUAUCCUAUAAAAAAAAUAAAAAAUCAUUUUGAAAAAUAAAUAAAUACAUGUUCAAAUAAGUAUAGAAACCAAGUCGAAUUUGUCAAAUGUAUUGAACUGGUGAUCACAGUUUGAACAGUUGACAGCUAUAGGCCUACAGCUUUCAUGCUUAAAACAUAACUUGGUUUUUAAAUGAAAGAGGGAUCAAACACGAACAACAUAACCGGUUAGGUUAACGUAACCCUAUUACAACAGAGAUCAACAACCUAUAACAGGGCCUAUGCACAGAAUGCAGCUAUUCAAUAGUCAUUCUUGUUUAAGAAUGUCUACAUGCUCAGGGGAGAGGCGGGUGCAGAGGCCAUUCACAAUCAGGCCAGCUGUAGAGAAGACCCUCUCAGCUGGAAUGUGGGCAUAAGAUGAGGUUUGAGUCUGCGUGACCUGCGUGUAGG